rnacentral:rRNA from 1 species
UACGUAGGGUGCGAGCGUUAAUCGGAAUUACUGGGCGUAAAGCGUGCGCAGGCGGUUUUGUAAGCCAGAUGUGAAAUCCCCGGGCUUAACCUGGGAAUGGCAUUUGGGACUGCAAGGCUUGAGUUUGGCAGAGGAGACUGGAAUUCCUGGUGUAGCAGUGAAAUGCGUAGAUAUCAGGAGGAAUACCGAUGGCGAAGGCAGGUCUCUGGGCCGUAACUGACGCUGAGGAGCGAAAGCAUGGGGAGCGAACAGG